rnacentral:rRNA from 1 species
AGGACGAACGCUGGCGGCGUGCUUAACACAUGCAAGUCGAGCGGUGAUCCUCCUUCGGGAGGUGAACAGCGGCGAACGGGUGAGUAACACGUGGGCAACCUGCCCCUCACACUGGGAUAACCUCGGGAAACCGGGGCUAAUACCGGAUAUGACCUCGAGCGGCAUCUCUUGAGGUGGAAAGCUCCGACGGUGAGGGAUGGGCCCGCGGCCUAUCAGCUUGUUGGUGGGGUAAUGGCCUACCAAGGCGACGACGGGUA